rnacentral:rRNA from 1 species
GAUGAACGCUGGCGGCGUGCCUAAUACAUGCAAGUCGAGCGAACAGACGAGGAGCUUGCUCCUCUGACGUUAGCGGCGGACGGGUGAGUAACACGUGGAUAACCUACCUAUAAGACUGGGAUAACUUCGGGAAACCGGAGCUAAUACCGGAUAAUAUAUUGAACCGCAUGGUUCAAUAGUGAAAGACGGUUUUGCUGUCACUUAUAGAUGGAUCCGCGCCGCAUUAGCUAGUUGGUAAGGUAACGGCUUACCAAGGCAACGAUGCGUAGCCGACCUGAGAGGGGGAUCGGCCACACUGGAACUGAGACACGGUCCAGACUCCUACGGGAGGCAGCAGUAGGGAAUCUUCCGCAAUGGGCGAAAGCCUGACGGAGCAACGCCGCGUGAGUGAUGAAGGUCUUCGGAUCGUAAAACGCUGUUAUUAGGGAAGAACAAAUGUGUAAGUAACUAUGCACGUCUGGACGGUACCUAAGCAGAAAGCCACGGCUAACUACGG